GCUGGUUCUCCCCGAAAGCUAUUUAGGUAGCGCCUCGUGAAUUCAUCUCCGGGGGUAGAGCACUGUUUCGGCUAGGGGGCCAUCCCGGCUUACCAACCCGAUGCAAACUGCGAAUACCGGAGAAUGUUAUCACGGGAGACACACGGCGGGUGCUAACGUCCGUCGUGAAGAGGGAAACAACCCAGACCGCCAGCUAAGGUCCCAAAGUCAUGGUUAAGUGGGAAACGAUGUGGGAAGGCCCAGACAGCCAGGAUGUUGGCUUAGAAGCAGCCAUCAUUUAAAGAAAGCGUAAUAGCUCACUGGUCGAGUCGGCCUGCGCG
rnacentral:rRNA from 1 species